rnacentral:misc_RNA from 1 species
AUGCGAUAAGUAAUGUGAAUUGCAGAAUUCAGUGAAUCAUCGAAUCUUUGAACGCACCUUGCGCUCCUUGGCAUUCCGAGGAGCAUGCCUGUUUGAGUGUCGUUGAAUUCUCAUCCCCGUCAUCGCUACAUUGUAGCACUGCGGGUGUGGAUUGGUGGAGGUCUUGCAGGUGGGGAAUUAAUUCCCUCUGCUCCUCUGAAAUGCAUUGUUGGCGUGCGCACCGAAUCCAGGCCAUUGGUCUGGAUCGCGUGGGCAGCUGAAGUGACGAACCCCGUCGUCGGUAUGAUAUAUUAAUGGGUCUUACCAACGUCGGACGGUUGUCGUGCUACUCAGAUAUUUGACCUCAAAUCAGGCAGGACUACCCGCUGAACUUAA